rnacentral:rRNA from 1 species
CCUACGGGUGGCAGCAGUGAGGAAUAUUGGUCAAUGGCCGUAAGGCUGAACCAGCCAAGUCGCGUGAAGGAAGAAGGAUCUAUGGGUUGUAAACUUCUUUUAUAAAGGAAUAAAACGAGGCACGUGUGCCUUUUUGCAUGUACUUUAUGAAUAAGGAUCGGCUAACUCCGUGCCAGCAGCCGCGGUAAUACGGAGGAUCCGAGCGUUAUCCGGAUUUAUUGGGUUUAAAGGGAGCGUAGGUGGAUUGUUAAGUCAGUUGUGAAAGUUUGCGGCUCAACCGUAAAAUUGCAGUUGAAACUGGCAGUCUUGAGUACAGGAGAGGUGGGCGGAAUUCGUGGUGUAGCGGUGAAAUGCUUAGAUAUCACGAAGAACUCCGAGUGCGAAGGCAGCUCACUGGACUGCAACUGACACUGAGGCUCGAAAGUGUGGGUAUCAAACAGGAUUAGAUACCCCAGUAGGC